UACGUAGGGGGCAAGCGUUGUCCGGAUUUAUUGGGCGUAAAGAGCGUGUAGGCGGCCAUACAGGUCAGCUGUGAAAACUCGAGGCUCAACCUCGAGACGUCGGUUGAAACCGUUUGGCUAGAGUCCGGAGGAGGAGAGUGGAAUUCCCGGUGUAGCGGUGAAAUGCGCAGAUAUCGGGAAGAACACCCGUGGCGAAGGCGGCUCUCUGGGACGGUACUGACGCUGAGACGCGAAAGCGUGGGGAGCGAACAGG
rnacentral:rRNA from 1 species